UGAUUAUCUUGUUACUUGGGAUUCCAUAAUAUGCGGUAAUAAAUGUACAUUUAUUCAUAACCUAGACCGAUUUUAGAAAAGUAAAUUUGGAGGACGAAUAUUAAGGAUUCAUUACGUAAAACAUAGACGAUCUAAGUCCACCAACACACGCUCGUGGUCAGUUUGCAAUAGCCUAAGCGGCGAAACAUCGUUACCCAAGCAUCAGCCGCCAGAUAGACCAAAUGUUACUGAACGACAGACAGAAGGAACUGAGAAUAUUGGUAGAAAGGUAGUUGCUCGUCCUUUACAGAGACACUGCAGAAUAUGGAUGUGCGAGAUUCAGAUCAUUAUGACUCAAGUGAUAUAAAUGUACGAGCUGUAAAACAGCAUAAUGAUAAUAAAAUAGGAGACCCUUUGCCGCUCGAUGCUAAUGACUCUCAUGUGCUGAGUAACGACUCUGUUCCAAGAGCUUUGCAUCGAAACAACGAUGGCCACCAAAAUAUAUCAAGAUCAACUGACUGUGAUCAUGAUGAAAAUGCAAUCAAAAUAAAACAGCCGACAGCAUCGAAAGGUUUCAGAUGUAACGAAGUUCGUAUCCCCGAACAAAUGCCAGACAAAAAAGCUUUAUUUAAGGACUGUAUGAAGAAAUUACAAAAUGACAUAAAGCGCGUUGUUGUGCCUCGUGAUUGGAUGGUUCUACCAGCCGUACAAAAUGACUUUGAAGAACUGCGGCGUAUUGUUGACAAAACGGUUCAAGGUGAACCAGUCACCGCUGAAGAAAGCAUGCGCUUUGAACUUUUGCGCAUGUGCACGUACAGGACAUUUCCAAAAAUAGCAAACCUGACGUCAGGAAGUUGGCUGAAGCUGGCUUGUAUUAUGCCUCUAAUAGCGAUGAAGUUAUUUGCUACUGCUGUUAUAAACGAAUUAGCAACUGGAUCGCAGACGAUGAUCCCAUGCCUAUCCAUCGGAGAAUUUCGCCAGAAUGUCGAUUUUUUACUGACACAGCGACCGUAAAUGUAACAAAAGAACGUACAGCACAAGUUGAAUUAGAAAUCAUGGAAAAAAUCCAAGGCGGGCGUCAAAGAAAUACACCCGCACAAAGUGCACCACUUCCGACAAGAAACGAUUUACAAAGUCCAGUAAAUGAUGCAAAUACUGGUGUUUUUCUACGUCAACGUCAACCAGCUCUAGCUCAUGGGCAGUUUGCAAUGGCCCACAGCGACGAAACAUCUUAACCCAUGCAUCAGCCGCCGGUUAACACGCGAGAAUCUACGAAUUAUCUGUCCAUGAUGCCACAAAUUGCGCGGAAUGAAACCUCGUCACCAAACAGGUCGCAUUUCCAGACAGGCGUUUUUGUGCCUCAGGACAACUCUAGAAUUCCUGUAAUCGAUACUAGAGCUGUGCAACCUUCAGAAGAAGAAGGACUUGAACAAGGAGAACACACUGACGAGUAUGGCCGUGAGUCACGCAAUGAUGAUGUACAUUCACCGGUGACCUCGGCUGUAGCUCAAGCGGAAUCAUCACGUGUACCAGGUGAUAUAUCUUCCCGUGUUUGUGUAACAUUUCCUGACCGUCAUUCCAAUAUUUACGGAUUUUUAGUUCAACAAUCACAGAUAGAGGUGCGUUCGGAAGUCUCUGGUAUUAUUCAAAGCAUUGAUAUCCAAAUCACACACAAUGAUUAGUGUUGUGUUUUAAAAGCAUAAUAGACCGUCGUCGUCUACAUGCUCGUCCAACUAUUAUGCUACAGCUUCUCGCAAAGCGGUCUUAAAAAAGGGCGAACUGAAAAUAGUGACACGUGCAUAUCAUAUUAUUAUGGUAAUAUACGUGCACCGAACUUGGAUUACCAUAACGUACAGGUGUACAUACAUCAUACCUAAACAAAGGAUGGCGAUGUUUUGAUGAUGUUCAAGUUCACGAUCAUAUGGUGCUUACACAGGUAGGUUAUUUCUCAACUGUUGACAGGUUAAUGAUCUUCAGAUUUAAUAGUGAACAGAAAAAGCAUUUAAGGACCAUAACAAUAUUAUCAAAAAGAGGCUAGCAUUGGUUUAACACUAAAAAAAACUAUAAAUAGUUAUAAUUUAGUUAUAAUUAAUGGUACAAUCUAAGACAUUAUUAAUUGACCACAGUUUUUGUAAAUUGUUGCAACAUUAUAUUUCAAAUCUGUUAACUGUUUAGUGAGAGUCUGCUAAUACCGGACACCGGGCAGAAUGAGUUCGAGUUUUGUUAUAUUGCAGGUUUAACACUGCCAGAUAUCCAGGCUAUUCUUUAUAAAAUAUUCAGAUUUGAAGAUCGAACGUAUAAUACUUAAACAUCAAAUCGUGUAUAUUUAAGAUUUUAUUAUUGUAUGAUUUGUUCUUGAUUCUAUCAUAUUUGAGGUUUGUUAAAUGCAUUUUAUGUUUGAAAUGUAUUUGCAUUUUUUUUUCGCAUGUCAUAUUGUGUAUUUUUUAUGCGUUUUACAAUGUGAAUUUUGAAUUAUGUAUGUCACAAAUACAAAUAAAUACAAUAUUGCAAAUAGUAUAGGUAUAGGACAUAUAUUUCCGAUUCGUAAAGAUUUGACAACUUAACGCAUUUUACAAAUUAUACAAAGGAUUUAAUAUCGUAUCAAGUGAAAUCAAAACGGGAAGCUGACAACGACAACGAGCGAGGCCUGGUAUCGUAAUUCACAUGGCGGGAUUAGAGGGUUAGGGUAAGGGUUAGGGGUCGGGUUUGGGUUAGGGUUAGCCUUAGCCCUAACCCUUGACCCUAACCCGACCCCUAACCCUUACCCUUACCAUAACCCAGGGUUAUCUCCCCUAUACCAUUUUCGCUCGUUGUCAUUGUCCGCUUCCUAAUGAAAACAGUACAUUUUUUUAUUCAAAUUUGUAUAUUACAGGCAGGGUACCUAAUUUCUAAAUGUGUGACAACAUUAAUGUCACAUGCGUCAAUGCAUAAAACCCGAUUUCGUCAUAGAGCUUAUUUAGUUAAAUAACUGUAUUCACAUUUGUUUGCACGCAUAAUUUUGAUUUUUCUAAACGACUUUUUAAUAUGUGAUAUGGAAAAUAAUUAUCAAUAAUACCCAUAUUUGUUCGGUUAGUCUACGUUUAUUUUAAGGAUUAUUUCAUAACGUAUGCGUCAUAUGUGCUUAUGUACAGGUAUUUUGUUUGAUCUUAUCUUUUUAUGUGCAUGUCUACUUGGAAUUUAUGUGAGGAUUUUUAUUAAAAGGGCCGUCCAACGUGUUGGUAAAUUGACAAGAGUAAAAAAGUUGUUUCAGAUUCGCAAAUUAUCGUUGUUGUUAUGAUAUUUUUGAGGAAAUAGUAAUACUGACCAUUUAACAUGCUCUUAAAUAUCCAUUAUAUGCAUCUUUUGACGAUUUAAAAACCUGAAAAUUAUAAAGCGUCUUGCGACGCGAAAGGAUCGAAUAAUUUGGAAAGUUCUGUUGUUGUAGUUAUAUUUUGGGAAACUACGAGGAUUGCUUAUAUAGGUAAAAAAAUACAUCCGCUCUAAGCAUGAGCAUGGAUGGUCGAGUGGUCUAGGCGGGAGACUUUUUACUCCAGGACUCCAGGGGUCAGUGGUUCGAGCCCUGUUUAGGGUAACUUUUUUGCCCGUUUAAAAUUGUUUUCUGGUUUGUUUACUGUAGAUUUUUUGGUCAACUGUUUAAAUUUAUCAAUAUAAAGCAUUUAAUGACAUACUUCAAUACAUGCCAAAUCUGAUGGACGGCCCCUUUAAAUAAUAAGAUAUUUCGAUCACGAAGUUUAAAACAAAUAUGUAAUAAAGCUGUGUUAUCUCUUGUUGCUAAGAUUUAUUCAGGUUAAUGUACAAUGUAAUUCAUGUUGAUCUAACACCAAACUUAGUAGUAGUCAUAGCUAAAAUAAUUUGUUGAUACAUGCACAACAUCCUUCAGAAACGAAGACACGUCAUUCAGAUCAAUAGUGUAUAAUUCGACCAGCUCUAUAAAAGAGAUUGUUUAAAGUUUAUAAUGAUAUUCGUGUAAGAAUGUUAUUAAAGAUAAAAAGAUGAAAACUUGUGAUUUUUAAUUAAGCCAUUCUAUCAAAUAUGUUGUCACACAAAUAACUUCUUUUCCUUUUAUGGAGAGACUUAGCUUGUGAUUUAAAUGGGACGUGUCUUGUCAUGGUCGAUGUCACUAUUACUUAAAUUAGAGUUUCUGCUGAAUAACUUGAGAUUGGAUGGAGGUCAUUGUACGUUGUACAGCAAUUUUGAAAGUAAAUAGCUUACAUUCACAACUAGCGUAAGAUUACAUUUUGAAGUACUCAAUGUUGCUUUAAACACCAAUAGCAAAAUGAAAAGAAAAAAUUGUAAGUUUUCGGUCGAUAUCUUAAAGUUUCCAUGGACCAAUUUUGAUGAAACUUUGGUAUAGAAAGCUUGCAUGGAGACCUAGUUUUGGACUUUUGUUUUGAUUAUUGGGUAAAUAUCAAGGUAUUGAACAUUAAAAAAACAACCGGCUUGAGGUUAAUAUCUUUAGUUUAAUUAAAGGCUUCUUACUGUAAAUUUGCGUGAAGGUCGACAUCAUGCAUACCAUUUGG